AACGGCCAUACCAUGCUGAAUAUACCGGUUCUCGUUAGAUCACCGAAGUCAAGCAUCAUUGGGCGCGGUCAGUACUUGGGUGGGUGGCCACCUGGGAACACCG
rnacentral:rRNA from 1 species